rnacentral:snoRNA from 1 species
GUGAUGAGGGGAUCGAUGGAGAGAUCUUAUGACGAUGGAAGAGACGACCUGA